rnacentral:sRNA from 1 species
UUGGGGGAUUUUCUGGGCGUCUAUUUAUUUGUUUGCCCUUUGGUUUGUUUUUCAUUCUGGGUUCCCCUCUUUCAUUUGAGAGUACAAAAAUUCCAAAGGUAAACAUCCAAUCCCUUGCUUCGCUUUUCUGUCCAUAACCAAGAAUCGGUGAAAUAAGUGUGUGGUUCUUGGAUCUGCGGUCUGAAACAAAAAAACAUGUAUAUUCUCUGUGCCAGCUAAUGUAUCUGUGAUUUCUUUGCAGGACGCUACUGCAACACUCAAGUCUGUUUGGAAAAAACUUAAGGAUCUCGGACCCAAGGGGAACGAUUUGGAGCAAGUGACUCAAAAAGUUAAACUUUGAUAUCGAAAUUAAUGGAAACCCAUUGCGUUGUAGUGGGUCUCUAUUCUUAAGACCAAUUGUGAGGUUUGUUCUUAUAUGGUACAUGAGUGUUUUUAUAAUUCUUUUGCACAGUUGUUAAUAUUUGUAGUUGUGAUUGGUGUUGUCCUACAUGUUUGGCCUGAAGAAAAUGAGACACUACUUUUGAUAAACCAUAUUGAGAGUGAAGGAAUCUCCUUUUAACCUGGUCAUGUUGGAGUACAUUUCUACUAACUUGGUACAAUAUGGAAAUUCAUGGACUCUUGUACUUGCCCCUUUUUAUAUGUAUUUGUUAAUUACAUGACAAAGUUUUUGACCCGUCGCAUCGCAUGGGCAUGAAUUCUAGUAAUACCUAAGCCAGCCGAUUUUCCGAAGGUCAUCAGCAUCCAAUUCACCGAAGUCACUAAUUGUUUGCCGCUCCUGUUCCUCACGCUACCCAAGCCAGCCGAUUCGCCGAAGGCCAUCAGCAUCAACUUUAGAAUUUUUCAUACUUCUAUUAGGUCUUCAAGAACUUAGAGAAAUGGGUGGACUGCCGGCUGAAAAUACUUCCUCUGAGACCAAGCCCAAGCCAGCCGAUUCGCUGAACGCCAUCAGCAUCAACUUUAGAAUUUCUGAUGGACGAAUACGUUAUGAGGAGUUUGCCGCAAAUGAUGAAGGCCGGGACAGAUUGGAGGAAAGCAUCAAGGCAACAUUCAUCAGAUCGGUUCAAG